rnacentral:rRNA from 1 species
UCGAGAAUCAUUCGCAAUGGGCGAAAGCCUGACGGUGCGACGCCGCGUGGAGGAUGAAGGCCCUAGGGUCGUAAACUCCUGUCAUCAGGGAGUAAGGGCUUGCGCAGUCACUGGCGCGGGCAUUGAUAGUACCUGAAGAGGAAGGGACGGCAAACUUCGUGCCAGCAGCCGCGGUAAUACGAAGGUCCCAAGCGUUGUUCGGAUUUACUGGGCGUAAAGAGUCUGUAGGCGGCGGGGUAAGUCAGAUGUGAAAUCCCGGGGCUCAACCCCGGAACUGCAUCCGAUACUGCCUUGCUUGAGUAUUGGAGGGGAGCCUGGAAUUCUCGGUGUAGCAGUGAAAUGCGUAGAUAUCGAGAGGAACACUAGUGGCGAAGGCGAGGCUCUGGACAAUUACUGACGC